UUUUGGCAGAUUGGAGAAUACCAAAAAGGAUUAAAGUCCCACCAAAACUCCUGAUUAUCAUCCCUGUUAGUUUCCUUGUUGCACCACCUAAUGACGCAUUAGAAGUUUCGAGAAUGCAGUGCCUAAUCCACCGCGCUCAUUUCCGGGCACAACCCAAUUCCAUGGACAACCCGAAUAGCCUUCAACUUCAGACCCCCCGAACGAAAACGCAAUUCCAAGGGCGAGAGAGAGAGAGAGCUCCGAUUAUCGAACCAUGCCUCCGACUCCGGCAAGGGCCAGUGGUGAGCUGACGGCAAAGCAGAAGGCAGCAGUGAACAUGAUCAUGACUGCUACAUUGCUUGUGAUUUGCGUGAGCCUCCGUCGAUUCGUGGUUCCACUUUCGAAAGGCAACUUUCUGCUCAGGGAAUUGGCUCUCUUCUGGUUCAUAAGCACAAUCAUGCUCAUUCCUAUCAAUCUCUUCACCUUUGUUGUCUUUGUCUAUCAUUUCCAUGGGGAAAACAUCAGGAGAACCAUUGCUUUCUUCCGUCUCUGGGGAGCUUUAUCAUUUAGUCUUCGGUAUUUAAUUUGAGGGUCUGCAGGGGUUCCAAUUUUGCUGGUAUCUUGUAGGAAAAGAUGGACCGGGAUAUCAGUUUGAUUAGUUUUAGAAAGAGAAUAGCAUGCCCAUCUAUGUUAAUAACUCCAGUACUACAAAGUCAGUAUCUAAGUCAUUACUUACAUUACGGAUGAUUUGAUCAGUAUCAUUAUAACUACUGAUAUAAUUGUUACAUAUUGCUGAUGUACCUAAUUAUCCACAUAUUGCUUA